UGUCUCUUCCAGGCUGGAGCAUUUAAUUGUCCAGGAUGUUGCUGGCCAGCCGGAAGACGAAAAUCACCGCGUAGAUGCCGAUGAUGGUGAGUAUAUACCAGGCAGCGCUGGUUCCGUCUGGCACCUUCAGAGCCCUGGUGGAGUUGGUGUCAUUCCUCCCCUCUGUGUGGUCACCCAGCAGGAGCCCCAGGAGGGUGCUGGCCUGGGUCUGGUUGGAGGCUUCAUGGGGAGUCCACUUGGCCCCUGAGAAACAGAGAGGUCCGGAUGAGAUCCAGCGUCCUGGGCUGAGGGCUGCCUGGCCACACCAAGGAGAAUGGAGCCCUCAUAUCCGUGAAAACGUGUCGCUGCUCAAAGAGGCCUUCUCUGAGGCAUGAGCAGGAGUGUAACAACAGGUUAGAAGAAAGGUGUCUAAAUUGGGAGCAAAGGUGGCAAUGACGUGGACUUGACACCAAAAAAAAAUUUUUUUAAAGAAAAGAAACAAGUGCCUCUGCAUUUCAGGGGUUUAGGAUUGGCAUUUUUAAAAUGUCAACAAAUAAAUGUUCAUAUCCACACUUGACAUUUUUUCCAAGGAGAAUUUUAAUUGUAUAAUUGCUGGUAAAUUCAUGCAGCCAACAUGGAGGGCACACGGACAAGAUCUAUGAGCAUUACAAGUGCACUUACCUUUGACCCAGCAAUUCUAUCUCUAGGAAUCUAUCCUAAAGAUGCUCCAGAACAUCUAGAGACAACAUAUGCUGAAGGUUAGUCAUUGCAGUCCUCCUUGUGAUGACGAAUGCCUGGGAACAGCCUGAAUAGCACCAACUGAGGGAUGGUGAAAUACAUUUUGGAACCUCCAUGCAGUGGAGUACUACACAGUCAUAAAAAGCAAUGAGUUUUUUAUGGUACUGAAUGUUAAUAAGUGAAAAAAUAAGCUAAUGGUGACAUGCUCUGCAAUGCCACUUGUAAAGAAGGGGGAAGUUAUAUGUUAUUUGCUUGUACUUUUUUUAUGUAUAGAACAUCUCUGGAAGAAUGAAUAAGAAAUUAGUAUCUGCAAUUGCCUCUGGGGAAGAAACCUGGGGGAAGAAGAUAUAUUUUUUACUGUUUGCCCUUUUGUACACUUAGUACCGUGUAUACUUAUUUUUGAAAAGCAAGAGUGUACCAGUUGGUACUUUUCUGGUCUCCCUGGUGAGGUGCCCCUGGGUAAAGCCGUUGUAUGCCCUUGUAAGACCAGAAGAUUAAGAUCUCAAUUGCUGUUCAAUUCAAAACUGUUUUCUCUGCUUGGAGAGCUGGUGGAGAAAAUGAAACAAUGAAAACCAGAGCUGUAGAGUGCAAUCCUGUGAGACAUUUCCCAGUGGGGCCUUACUGGCUCAAACCCCCAUUUCUUGCUCUAAUGUGAACACAGAUGUAUUUAAAAACACAUCAUAGGAUCAAUCUUGCAGCCUGCUGUGCAGAACAAAGGUGCUCCAAAAUGCUUCCCAUUUGAUCGUUGUUUGUUGCUAAUUCAUUUUGCGAACGCAAGACUCAGAGAGGCCAGUAUUUUUUAUUAUAGUUAGUUGCCAGAAUGUGUGAAUGAGCUUAUUACUUUUAGAUGAAGGAAGAAACUAUUUAAAAAUUACUUUUCAAACUACAUGUGACAAAGCCCAGGACAAAUGAACAGAUUUAAUUACAUAAAAUUAGUCACUCGCAAGAAACAACACCACAAGCAUAAAUUUACACCAUUGUUUGGUAGAAUGGUUUGAGACAUUAAAGUAAGGAAGGUGAAAAAUUCCCGUAAUUAUUGCAACAAACAAACAGACAGCAAAUCAACCCAACAAGAACACAAUAUCCUUAUAUUAGGGCAAGAGAACUUAUUGAAACUCAGAACACAUGUAUAAACUCAUAGAACUUUCUAGAAAUUGUCAUAGAAUGAUGCAACACAUUCAAAUACAAAUAAAAUAUCCCCAACUAAGAGCUACACACAGAACAUUAAAUUAUUUAAAAACCAGUCCAUUUUCUACACGAAAGAAACUCACUAUAUUAAUUACUGCAAUACAUUACAUUUUACCUUUCUUACAAAGGUAAAAGUAAGUUAGGUUGUAUCUUAAUGGACAAACAUAUCCUGUAGAAGAGAGAAACUUUUUCCUCUGUGCUAUUUUGUACUUGUAAUUUAAUGACGUGAAAUAUGUAAAAUCUCAACCUGCCCAUCCUUGCAUUGUAGCUGAGUACUCACAUUCCAUGGGGUGGUCUUGUCCUUGACUCUUGGAGGGGCAAGUUCAAGCGGCUACCAUGCACAGAAGGGGAAGAUGAUGAAAGGAGAACUCCGUCUCCUAGGGAAGAAUCAGUCCUACUGCAGUUGAGCUGCACUGAGUUUCCAGAGUGGGGAGUAAUAUGAUCUUCCAACAAUCUUAGGGCAGCACCAAACAGAAACUUAGUAAGUGGAUGACUUUGCUUUCAUGCAAUUAAUCAGAGGAUCCGAUUUGCUGUGUCUUCUGUUGCAUCAGAACAGAAAGCACUUCCCAGCUUUGACUUGUUAAGAAGUUCUCAAUCAAAACAAAUUUUUAAAACGUGCUGGUAUUAAGGAAUCUCCAUCUCUCAGGUCCCAUCAUGAACUGAGGUGGCCAGAAGCUCCCCCUGAGGCUGGCUCUCCGCUUAGAGCUUGGAUGGCUAUUGAAUUCCCCUGUGUUCUGCACCUGUUGCAGGUGUGGCAGAUGGCCAGGUGUGGCAGAGAUCUGUCAUCAUAGGGCCAGGAAACUCCAUGGUCAAGAGUCACCAGCUUCCUCUGGACAGUCUCCCAGAUGAGGAAACCCAGACAGGAAGGGAGUGACACCCCAAGGGUGACACACCUGAGGGGACUUGGGCUUUCCCUGAGGGGUCAGUGGGCAGUGGACUCCUGUGCCAGGUGGUGAGAAAUGGCUCUUCUCUUUCCCAGAGUCACAGACCCCAUUGGAGUUGAGGUAGGCUUAAUUGGAAAGUGUUAGAGUAAGUGUCUGCGGGUAAAGUUUCCCCAGGAGCAGGGAGGGAAAAGUUGGAAGACUGGCAAGUUAAAUCAUCCAGCCAUUGUUUCCAGUUCCAUUUCUUCCUAAUCCUCACUCUAGGACUCUAACUUGCCACGUUUGUGAUGGUUGCUGGUUUUUAAGAUACAAUUUGAUGAAAUUUCCAUCAAUGGGGUACUGGGUAAGUAAGUUAUAAAAUAAGCCAUAUGAUCCAGCAAUUCUACUCCUGGGUAUCUUCCCAGGAGAAAUAAAAAUGUAAGUUUACACAAAAACUUGAACACACAUGUUCAAAGCAGCAUUAUCUGUAAUAGCAAAAAAUGGAAACAACCCAAAUAUCCAACAACUGACUAAUGAAUAAAUAAAAUGUGGUUUAUCCAUACAAUGGAAUGUUAUUCAGCAAUAAACAGGAAUGAAGUACUGAUAUAUGCCAUAACACGGAUGAAACUUGCAAACAUUGUGCUAAAUAAAAGAAGUCAGUCACAAAGGACUACAUAUUGUAGGAUUUCAUUUAUAUGAAAUGCCAAGAAUAGGCAAAUCUACAAAGAUAGAAAAUAGAUUAGUGGUUCACUAGCGGGAGGGAUUGGGGGUGAUAACUAAGGGUAUAUAGCAUUUUUGGAGGGGUAAUAAAACUUCUAAAAUUGUGGUGCUCACUGUACACAAUCUGUGAAUAUACAAAAAAAUUGAAUGCAUACUUUAAAUGGAUGAAUUUUAUGGUAUAUGAAUUAUAUUUCAAUAAAACUGUUAAAAAUUAUAAUAUACAAGCUGGGUGCAGUGGCUCACACCUGUAAUCCCAGCACUUUGGGAGGCCGAGGUGGGUGGAUCCCCUGAGGUUGGGAGUUCGAGACCAGCCUGACCAACAUGGAGAAACCCUGUCUCUACUAAAAGUACAAAAAAUUAGCCGGGCAUAGUGGAGCAUGCCUGUAAUCCCAGUUACUUGGGAGGCUGAGGCAGGAGAAUUGCUUGAACCCAGGAGGCGGAGGUUGCAGUGAGCAGAGGUUGUGCCAUUGCACUCCAGCCUGGGCAAUAAGAGUGAAACUCCAUCUCAAAAAAAAAAUUAUAAUAUACAUAUACAAUGGAGUAUUACACAGCUGUGAAAAAGAACGAGGAAGCUAUUUAUGUACUGAUGUAUAAAGCUCUCUAAGGUGUGCUGUUAUGAAAAAGGUAAAGAAGAGAGCAUGUUAACAUGUAUCCAAAAAUUGAGAGGAAGCAUAUAUAUAUAUAUCUGAUUUUGCCACUGUAAGCAUUUAAAACACCAGUGGAAUAUCCAAGAAAUUAAGAAGAGGGGUUACCUAUUGGAGGAGAGAACCAGGUAGAUAUAUGGCAGGUGUGGGAGGGAGAGCUCUCACUAAAUAUUUUUAUGCUUUAAAUAUUUUUAACCGUAUGUGUAUUACCUAUUCAAUAAUAAAUGCACCCAUUUGUUAGA
rnacentral:lncRNA from 10 species